rnacentral:lncRNA from 1 species
ACGUGGCACACCGUCUAGUAACGACAUUUUGUUCUCGGCAAGCUUCGGAGACCGGUCAGCUGCUGUUCGAAGAUGGCUUUGCUGAAACUUGCUCUCUGUAUUCUCCUAUAUGCGUUGGUAGCCGCAAAUCCUCCCGCAAAUCGCCACCGUGGAAAUGCGGACAGCGUGAGGAUGUUCGCUGCUUUUCCCCAUGCCGUUGCCGUGUUCACAACCCAAAACGACACUUCUUUUAAGUGUCUCAGUGCAACGAGAAGGAACUUUAACCCGCGAGAAAGGACGGUUACCUACGUUUGGCACUUCAAAAAUCACACUGGCCAUCAAAGGAGAGACGUCGUCUUCGACGUGAAUUUUUCAGAAACUCCUGGAGAAGGCACCUUUUUCGUGAACAAUGACAAACUCGUUCUUUUAGGGCUAUAUACAAGUACUCGGACUACACUACCUGCGCUGUGAUCUCAUUCCCAUAUGGAGAGAAAGAUCAUUGCACAAUGUGGGUGAAAAGGUCUCGAGUGCACAACGUUCCCCAGCACUGCUUGGACAAAUACGAGGAGAUCUGCGACCUCGGAAUACAUCUAGUCGACAGAGACAUCUGCAGAGACGAUGACGACUAAUGAGGCGCCACCGAGCGCCUUCUGACCUACAGCACAUCCUGCAGACGCUAUUAAACGUUCUACCACACGGAGCAUGAUAUACGCGCCUACUAAAGCAUACUAUCCUCCAAAUCCGUACGCAAGCGACGGAGGAACGGGCCACCAACCUCACGAUACGCGCAGGUGUGCACGUUUCAAUGCAAGUAGCACGGUGUUUCCGCAGCCCAAUCAUCGGAUGCGUUCGUGUUUGUGCGGGCGUAUGGUCUCUUCUAAGGUUUAGUAUGGAUGUUAUUUGUUUUGAGUUACUGAUAUUAAAAAUGCAGCAGGAAUAUGAAAAUGA